AGUUGGGCUAAGGCGGCAACACGCCUUGAACCUGGUCAGGCCAGAGAUGGAGCAGCCAUAAGGGGCCUCUGAUGAGCGUUUUAGCCCAUUUUUU
rnacentral:SRP_RNA from 1 species